rnacentral:rRNA from 1 species
CCUACGGGUGGCAGCAGUGAGGAAUAUUUGGCAAUGGGCGCGAGCCUGAACCAGCCAAGUAGCGUGAAAGAUGACUGCCCUACGGGUUGUAAACUUCUUUUAUAAAGGAAUAAAGUGCGGCACGUGUGCCUUUUUGUAUGUACCUUAUGAAUAAGGAUCGGCUAACUCCGUGCCAGCAGCCGCGGUAAUACGGAGGAUCCGAGCGUUAUCCGGAUUUAUUGGGUUUAAAGGGAGCGUAGGUGGGUUGUUAAGUCAGUUGUGAAAGUUUGCGGCUCAACCGUAAAAUUGCAAUUGAUACUGGCAGCCUAGAGUACAGUUGAGGUAGGCGGAAUUCGUGGUGUAGCGGUGAAAUGCUUAGAUAUCACGAAGAACUCCGAUUGCGAAGGCAGCCUACUAGACUGCAACUGACAUUGAUGCACGAAAGUGUGGGUAUCAAACAGGAUUAGAUACCCCUGUAGUC